GUUCAAGCAGCCGCGGUAAUACGUAGGGUGCGAGCGUUGUCCGGAAUUAUUGGGCGUAAAGGGCUCGUAGGCGGUUUGUCGCGUCGGGAGUGAAAACGCCGUGCUUAACACGGCGCUUGCUUUCGAUACGGGCAGACUAGAGGUAUGCAGGGGAGAACGGAAUUCCUGGUGUAGCGGUGAAAUGCGCAGAUAUCAGGAGGAACACCGGUGGCGAAGGCGGUUCUCUGGGCAUUACCUGACGCUGAGGAGCGAAAGUGUGGGGAGCGAACAGGAUUAGAUACCCCGGUAGUCC
rnacentral:rRNA from 1 species